CGGGGUGUGGCGCAGCUUGGUAGCGCGCUUCGUUCGGGACGAAGAGGCCGGGGGUUCAAAUCCCCCUACCCCGA
rnacentral:tRNA from 1 species